GCACCUGCUGACCUCCUCAAGCUCUCACUUUCUUACGCUCUCCUUCUGAGGUGCACCUUUUUGGAGUUGUUUAGCAUGUUCCUAUCUCCUGUAUCUCUGCAAAUUAAUAAUUGGUUCUAGACAGUUGAUGAGAUUUGGUUUCUAGGCUUUAGCUUUUAGCAAGAGGUAUCAUAGACCAUCCUGACUCCUACUGCAUAAGAGCUGAUCACCGUCCUUCACACCAGACGCUCUAGUGUCCACUGUGUGUCUUUGGCAAAUCUUUCUCCUGGUCUUCUCUUCCUGAAGGUAGCGAAAAAAGAACAGUGAUUAUUUUUAAAAAAAAGAAGAAUAAUAUAUAUAUACACAUACAUACACAUAUACAUAUAUGCACACACACACAUAUAUAUGUACAAGUAUGCUUAUGUUUCUUACACAAAAGCAUUUUACACAUACACAAAGUUUCUUAGAAACUCUCCAAGUUAGUGGAAUUUUCUUCUUUUUCUAUCUUUUGUUCAGUGUGUUUCUUCAUUGACACUGCUGAAGGAAUAGCUUCUACUUACCUGGUAUUGCCUUUUGCCAGCAUCUCUGUGGCAGUGAGGCUGCUUUCUCGGGGGCAAGUGCAGAUGUGCUUUCCAAGCCUCACCAGACUCCCUGCCGCAGAGUGUUGAGUGCUGCGUUCCCAUCCAGCAUCUCCUGCACAGUGCAGGACACUGUUGACAAGAAGAAGUGAAGCAAGCUGCACCUGAAGUUACCACAUAGUUGUAUCCUAGUCUUCAAACCUUGUUUUUUUAUCCUGAUAAAUGGAGAUGAUAGCUGUUUUUAAGAUUAGGCAAGGCAGGUUGGUGAGAUGGUGCUGCAAAUAAAGGAACUUGCUAUUAAGCCUGACCACAUGAUUGUAGUCCUAGGAAUCCUGUAUAUGAGGCGAGAACCAAUGCCACAGGCCUUCUUCUGACUUCCACACAUGUGCAGUGGUGUGUACGCCACCCCCCCCCAAUUAAAUACUCGGAAUAAUUUUUAAAUAAGAAUUAGUUGAGUUGCCGUAUGUAAAAUGCUGAAUGCUGGACUCUUGCUUAUGGUUGCUCGACUUAAAUGUGAAAGCUGAGUGCAUAUUACCGCUAUAGACUGGGUGCUUCCAUCUAGUCUGCCAGAAUGGCAGAUAGAGAGCUGAGAAUUUUGGCUCUUUGAAUGGUGACCAAUUGAAAGGGAAAAUAAAUCUCUGUCCCUUUUAUGACUUCUUAGCUGUCCAAUCAGGUCUUUGAAGUGAUGGGCAGGUUUGGAAUGUAUCCUCAUCUUAACUCCCAGAAAUGACUGGAAAUUACUUAAUCCUUCCUGCACUAAACCCAACAGGCAGGGUCCUCAAUAAAUACUAUAGCUUUUACAAGUGAGUGCCUUGAGGAGGGGUAUUCCAAAAGGAUGACAGCAUGCUAUGUGACUUGUUUCUUGGCAUUGCUGAUAUUGAAGGGCUAGGGAUAGUGGUCCAUGGUACAUUUUAAAUAACUUUUUACUUUUAUUUGAGGGAUGGUUAUUUGUGUGUUUUAAACAUGGUCUUUUAAUAGCCCAGGUGGGGCUCACACUUGCUGUGUAGCUGAUUCAGUUCCUGAUCCUCCUCCCUGCAGUCUCCCAAGUGUUGGGAUUAAAGGUGUUUGCCAUCGAAGCUGUCCAAGAUUUCAGAAUUCUUAUGUGGUACAGUGUCAGCUGCAAUCUAAGGUCUUGGGCUGACCUGCACAUUGUGUUAUGAGUUAUAAAAGAAUCUUGUCUAACUUAGUCCAGAUCUGAGUUUUUUAUAUUUAUGCAUAGGGUAUGGAUGGGUUGCAUUGCCUGGUACGUGUGUGGAAGUCAGAGGGCAGCAUGUGGGAAUUGGUCCUCUAUUUCUAUCAUGUAAGUUUUAAGGAUCACAUUCAGGUGGUCAAGCUUGAUGACAGGAGCUUUGGCCCUCUGAGCCAUCUUGCUAGCUCCUGAUUCAGAAUUUUAAUAAGAUGGAAUUCAGUGGGCUCUAAGCCAUCUAAAGUUGUAUUCAGAAUCCUAAGUGUAUGCCUUGUGGUGUGUGUGUGUGUGUGUGUCUGUCUGUCUGUCUGUCUUUGUCUGUCUGCAGAAUUUGUAUUACUAAGUAUUACAAUUUCAGAUAUUCGGCCAGGAGUAGUAACACACAUUGAUAAGACCAAGGCAGGAAAAUUCAAGGCCAGCCUGGGUUACAGUGUUCUAGAACCACAGAGCAGUAAUUUUGUCU
rnacentral:lncRNA from 1 species